CUGGGCCGUAACUGACGCUGAGGAGCGAAAGGGUGGGGAGCAAACAGGCUUAGAUACCCUGGUAGUCCACCCCGUAAACGUUGGGAACUAGUUGUGGGGGCCUUUCCACGGGCUCCGUGCCGCAGCUAACGCAUUAAGUUCCCCGCCUGGGGAGUACGGCCGCAAGGCUAAAACGCAAAGGAAUUGACGGGGACCCGCACAAGCGGCGGAGCAUGCGGAUUAAUUCGAUGCAACGCGAAGAACCUUACCAAGGCUUGACAUAUACGAGAACGGGCUAGAAAUAGUCAACUCUUUGGACACUCGUAUACAGGUGGUGCAUGGUUGUCGUCAGCUCGUGUCGUGAGAUGUUGGGUUAAGUCCCGCAACGAGCGCAACCCUCGUUCUCUGUUGCCAGCACGUAAUGGUGGGAACUCAGGGGAUACUGCCGGGGUCAACUCGGAGGAAGGUGGGGAUGACGUCAAAUCAUCAUGCCCCUUAUGUCUUGGGCUUCACGCAUGCUACAAUGGCCGGUACAAAGGGCUGCAAUACCGUGAGGUGGAGCGAAUCCCAAAAAGCCGGUCCCAGUUCGGAUUGAGGUCUGCAACUCGACCUCAUGAAGUCGGAGUCGCUAGUAAUCGCAGAUCAGCAACGCUGCGGUGAAUACGUUCCCGGGUCUUGUACACACCGCCCGUCAAGUCAUGAAAGUCGGUAACACCUGAAGCCGGUGGCCUAACCCUUGUGGAGGGAGCCGUCGAAGGUGGGAUCGGUAAUUAGGACUAAGUCGUAACAAGGUAGCCGUACCGGAAGGUGCGGCUGGAUCACCUCCUUU
rnacentral:ncRNA from 1 species